CUCUGAAGAGCAGGGGACUCUCUGGCUCUGGGGUUCACUCGUCUUGUCUUCUGCGUCUAUACCCUGGGGCCAUGUCCGACCCCAUUUUUCUUCUAUACAAGACCCUGAGUGAAGUUUUAAUCUGGGGGCAAUGGAGACUUGCCUGUCCCAGCCUAGGAGGUCCUAAGGAUUCAUAGUUCCUCUCCUUGUCCAAGAAUCUAGGGACGCAGACACCUUCCUGAACUGACCUUACACAUGGGAACUAUUGUCUUCCUUCAGCCUUUUAGCUUAUUCUAGUUAUUUUGAAAGGCAGCUAAUUGAAUCUGCAUUUGUCUGUUGUUGAGGUCACACUCUCUGUUCCAGAACUGAGAGAGUGACUGUUUCUUAAUUUCCUGUUAUGCAAGGUGUGUCCCCCGCACUGUCCUCGUGCCGAUAUUCUGCAUCAGGCUCCAGGAUCUCAGACAGGACAUGAGCAGGGGCACAGCUGCUGGAGGUGACACUCAACCUGAGCCUGUUCUUCCCAGAGACACAGUCUGAUUCUACUCAGAGCAAGAUGCUGACAGGAGCCGCGGGCUUCGUGCUGGGGCUCAUCAUCUGUGGAGUGGGCAUCUUCAUGCACAGGAGGAGCAAGAAAGGAAAGAAGACAACCAUGAAAAUGGGGAUAUCCAAGCUAUUGUAUAAGGUGGCCCGUUGGACAUGGACCUCUCCUGGAUUUACUGUAUUUCAGUGAGCUGCCCCAUCAUCGUGUUUGGUGUCUUCAUCCGUUCAGGUCUGAAGUCACUAUUCUUAGCUAUUCAGUGGUGAGCAGACUGCAAAUCUGUGUUGUAGGACCCAUAUUGACAUAGCACUGAUUCGACAUAUAACUUACUAAGAGCAUGUAUUAGCAUUACUGUUAAGAAAUUAAAUGAGCAUCAGAAUUUAAAAUGACAAAUACAGUCUAACACACUUUCAACAUUUUCUCUGCAUGCCAUCACAAAUACCCCUUAACCAAAUGUUGCUUGGCCUUUUGAAUGCAUCCAGCAGACAAAAUUUAUCCUGUAAGUCUGCAUUCAUUCACCAGCCUAGACCUCCUGAGCUAAUAAUUCAUACAGAGAGAAACACCUCCCCGUUGUUGAAAGUGCAAAGCAAUAUGUGCAGCACUCUUUCAAACACUGAUCUUUUUUUUAACAGUCCAAAAUUGUUAUGUGUUUUGCAUUUCAUAUUAAGUUACUGUAAAUUAAGGUAGAAGACAUGUUUGGUCUAAGCUUUUCUUUUCAUGUAGAGGAUGGAUUCUUAACUCCUGAUACAAAUAAUGAGCACUCAGUGGCUCUCUGAUACAUCCAGUUGUUGGCUUCCUUCUCCCUGACUUCUCACAAGCAGCUUCUGGGCCUUGUGUGCCUGGGCACCUUAUCCCUGGUCAGUUUCCCAGAGCUACCCGUGUUCCUCUCACUAUCCAAUCAGAGUCAUCCCCUUCCAUUUUUGUCCCCUGGAAACAUGCUGUAGGUGUCAGCGGUACCCAGAGUGGAGUGAACAAUCUCCAGACUAACUCUUGCAGGAUGCAAAACUGAGGUAUCUGCACCCAUAAUGUACCUGUAUCCUACAAUUACAGGUCCAGGAUUUGCAUUCCUAGGGAACAGAGAAUAUAAGCAGUCACAGAAAGGCAUCAGAUGUGUCUAGCUCUGACAUACACAGGUAUUUAUUGAACUCUGGGAUUUCUCAGGAAAAAUGCGGUGCAGAGAAAGGUCCCUGAUGAGACCACAGCAUACAGACCAUCCAGUGUAGGCACCACCUUGUCACUAUACUUUAAAUUCUUCAUAUUGAUUGAGUGCUAUCUAAAUAUCAGACCCUUUGCUGAGUGCUAGGUGCAGGAAGAUCACAGGCAGCCAGGAGGUGGAGGGGUCUUGGGGUACAUAAGUCAUUGUGGUUGAAGAGCAGAGAUUCAAAAGAAAGCUAGGCUGGGAGCUUCAAAGGAGACCUGAAGCUGGUCACUUCCUUAUGUCAACUUCUGACUGAGAAAGUUUGACAUCUGGAGUAGAGCAAACACAGUGGGGUUAGGACUGCCAGCUUAGUGUUGUGUCCCCCCUCCCUUUCCAUCCCUGGUCCCUUCAUUUUCUGCCCCUCACAGCGUGAAUAAACUCUGACAGAUGCCAGACUAUCUCCUUCUUGUCCAGGUGCACAAAGAACUGCUCGUCUUCAUCAAAUUCAAACAUAUACUCCCCAGAGGGUCUGUGUGUCUGCACAAACUCUGCAUACUUUGACACAGUGUCUGCUGCAUGAAGGGGAAGAAGACUGCAGAAUGGUGAACGUGUAGGAAACUACACAGAAUACAGGAAGCAAGCAGGCCACAAGUGCCAGCAGCUGCACAGAUACUUCUCUGUUUAGCCACUUCAGAAUCUGAGAGAGAACUUACCACGAUUCCCAGCUGCUCCGAGUGAGAAAGAGACACAAUGAGCCCGGAGUCUACCUCGCUAGGUCACUCAGCACUCCUGGGGGUCGUUAGAAGCUCUACUUCCAACCCCACUUCUGACACCAUCUAAUAAAAGAAGAACUUCAGCCGAAUAAAUUUUAAAUGAGGUUAAUUGGGCAAUAAACAAUUCACAAAUCGGGCAGCCCCCAAGCCAGAGUAUGCUCAAAGCCUCCAGCACAGCCGUGUGGUGGAAGAAAGUUUAUGGACAGAAAAAGAAAAGUAACAUACAGAAAACAGAAGUGAGGUACAGAAAGUUGAGGUUACAGCUCAAUGUUUGCCUAACUUGAACAUGGUUCAAACAGUUGGCUGCAUGUGAUUGGCCAAAACUUGGUGAUUGGCACAACUGUGGGCUACGGUCUGUUUACACCUCCACUUGUUAUAGUUCAUGAUGUACAGAGAAACCUUUAGGCCAAACUUAAAAUAUGUAAGGAGGCAGCUUUAGGCUAAACUUGAUUUAACAGAAGAAAUUAUUUUACAUAUUGGGGAACUGACCACAGAAAUAAAGUAACUUGCCCAAGUCACACAAUUCCUGGUAAAAACAAAAUUGCAUAGUCCCCCUACCCCAUUCCCAUAGGGUCUCAGAGCCCCUACAGGACCAGACAUAAAGAAUACUGAUAUAGCCACAGAGCAAGGCAGGGAAGUGGGGAGAUGAAAUCAAAAUCUUUCGGGGAAAAAAUAAUGAAGGACGUGAAAAGACCUCCAGAGUCUUAGUGCUAUUUAUAGACUUCAAGUUAUGUUCUUACUUUUAGAAUAAAAAUGGUAUAAUUUUAUCAAAACACUUUCAUUUUAAAGCAUAGUAAAUUUAAAAGUGUUGUCAUUCACAUAGCAUUCACAAAAUGUUCUUGUUGCAUGUAUAUUUUCAAGUGUAGUUUUACCUGGAAAUAAAAGUUGUUGCAUUUGAAACACCUGUGGGAUAGUAUCUUGGCUUUACCUGAUGUAUAA